AAUGUAAUGCAUACAUCGUUAAUGAACUAGAUCCCAUUAGAAAUUUGUAGUUUAAUUCACUUGGUCUAGAGUAGUACUAGGAUGGGUGACCUCUCAGGAAAUCCUAGUGUUUUACAUGC
rnacentral:rRNA from 1 species